GAUAUUAUUAAAAAUAAACAUUAAAAAUAAACGUUUGGUUCUAUUUGAUCACGGAAGCGGCGGAUGAAUACAUCCACACUUAACGCGUCGAUGCGGAACGUCAUCAUCAUGCGCCUCUUGUUGAUGAAUAGUCAUUCGAUAUUCAAGUUGUAACCCUCAGUAACGGUACAGGCAAAAAAAAACACACCAUUGCAUGUAAAGAUGAGUAAAUAAACGAACGCUGAAGUAUUUAUAUGGCGCUGUUAGGCCUCGAUAAUAUUAUCAAACCAGAAAUUUUACGAAAUGGGAAAACUCGCGAAAAACCGACACAAUUUGGUACAACGUGACCAAUGCUCAAAUGUAAGUAAUAACAUUUUAUUUACAUGUGACUUUUUUUAGAGCGGAUUCACAAAUUGCUUCACAUAGUUAUAAAAUGCAUCCAUAUCAAGUACAGAAACACAACAUUUUAUGAUUAAUGUCGGGAAAGAAACUUCAAUCAAACCCAUUAAAAAAUAAAAUAGUCUUAGUGGAAGGCCUGCCAAAACAAAUGUGUUUUCUCAAUCCACUGUAGCUUUAAUCUUGUUUAAGAGGCACUAAGCAAAAGGCAGACCACAGUGACAAAUGUGAGGAAACAUGGACACAGAAGACAACGUGGAGACACUUGGCGAGCAGCUAUACACUCUGAUUUUCCCCAAAUACAGCGAGCACGCUGGGAAACUUACAGGUAUGUUGCUGGAGCUUCCUGCACCUGUCCUGAGUAAGAUGCUGCAGGAUGAGGCCAUGCUUGCAACGGCCAUAGAGAAAGCUGUUGAGGCCCUGCAGGUCGAUUUGCACCAAGAGUCCAG